UUGGAGCCCUUGGCGACGACAAAAUGAAAAAAAAAAGCCCACAACAACAAACAAAACAAACGAGAAGAAGGAGGAGAAGGAGGAGAAGGAAGGAGGAGAAGGAGGAGAAGGAGGACAGGGCUCCGGCUGCUGCCUCGGAACUACUUAUUCUAGCCUAGCGGCGGGGAGCGCGGCCUUUGAAGUACGGGCGGCCCGGGCGCCGCAGCCAAUCAGCGUCGCCGAUACUCGGCGCGCGGCCGCGCUUCGGCCAAUGGCGGCCGCCGCCAUGACAGAAAUACGUCACGGCGCGCCCGUCAAUCAAUAAUCCGCCGUCGGGGCGCGGGGAGAUCUGCUCUUAUCCUUCUUAUGUGUGUGUGUGAGUGUGUGUGUGUGUGUGUGUCCUCCCUCUCUCCCCUCUCUCUCCCACCCGACGAUUAUGAAUUUUUUUUAUUAUAAAUUUGACCCGCCGAGCGCAUGACGACGCGCCAUUUUUUUUUAUCCGGCGAUGCGUCGUUAAUGAGCGCGACUUCUGCAGAGGGAUGUGUUUUACCUGUGCAGACAUCUCGUCAGAGGAAAUCCUGGACACGGAGGCUGUCGUCUUCAUCUUCGGUUGGUCUCCGUUUAAUACACCUGCAGCUCGGGACUGAGGAGUUGUGA
ensembl:lncRNA